UUUUAAUUAAUUUGGGAUUUUAUUAACUAGAUCCAACCAAAAAUGUCUUUACAUUAGAUGGACCAACCCAUUUUUAUUAAAAAUAAAUCUUCCAAGAUUGGCCCUAACAAAUCCAAUAAAAAACUUAGCCCUUUUCCCAAAUAUUAUUACAUAUACAACGGUCCAAAAGGGUUUUCUAAAUGCACAUCUUCUUCUCCAUCGCAACUCUACUCCAGCUUAAAAAUAUUGGACUCCCUUGUUUCCAAUCACUCCUUCUGUGUGUAUCUAUUCUGAAUAAGCUACUGUUAUCGAUAUCAGCUUUCAAAAGUGUGUUCUCUAAUGUGUUUGGUGUAGUUCUUAUUGCUUUGCUAUGUUGAGGGAACAAUGCUUGAAGUGUAUUCCAGAUCUGAGUAUUGAUGGAUUGGAGAUACUGGGAUGCAUGGAACCUGUUGUACUCGAAUUUCAAUGCUCUUUCCAGCUAUUUUAAUAGCCAAAAUUUCAUAUAUCCCUCCCAUUUUUUAUGUUCCCCGUAUCUCAUAUGGAGUCUUUUUUGUUGGCUGACCAAUAUUAAGCUAGAAAGAUUGGUACCUGCUUUUGUAUGUCCUUUUAUUGUAAUGUAAUCUGAACACUGGACAUUGUAGCCUAUUCAGCCUGUAUGAUCUCUUGUUGCUUUGACUCGAAUGUAUGGACACUAUAGCAUAUCACUGUUGAGAAUUUUCUUGCCC